GCUAUUUCGUCUUACUGCGGUUUCACCCCAUCUGUCAUUUGUACCAAUUGUAGAUAAUGUCCAUAACAAGUCUUCAUGUCGACAUUCUUGCCAGUGGUGCUGAUACUUUUUUUUAUCACAACCGCUUGUUUCAACUGUUCCAAGUAUUGAAGCAAGUACUUAGAGAGGGCUGCCCAUUACAAAAGAAGAGCUUAUCACGGGGUCCUGAAAGAAGUUGGAACGUUUUGAACCGUCUCAUCCAAUAGGUAUUAGAAAAUGGUAAUCGCUUAAUGAUUAGUUUCUUCAUUGCCUGUCAACUUACCAUCCAAGCAAGCACUGUCUGUCAAACCAUUAGCCGAAUACAAUUAAUACCAGUAGUUCACCAAAACAAAAGGUUAAGAAUCAUACUGAAUCAAAAGAGGUAUCUAGUCAAACCAAAUAUCAUAAUGAUAACGGUUGGAAGCCCGAAGGAAUUUUUGAAAAAUGCUUCCUGCCCAUUACCCUCAGUCGUUGCUGCAGUCCGAAAACAAAGUAUUAAAAGUUAUAUAAAUUAAAGUGCAUAUCUGGGCUCCCUUCUUUUCUGUGGCCCCGUUUCCCUUAAAUUUUUAAUAAGCCCGUAGGGGGUCAUGCCCCUACUGUGAUCAGCAGUAACGGUUGUGAGUGCGCUGUCUGGAAAGGGGACGUGGGGGUCCUCAUGGUCCGAUGAUAUCAUUGGAGGGCUGUGGGGCUACCCAAAAAUCCGAAUUAACAGUUAAUCGCUCACGUAAAAGCUUGUCCGCAACCUUCGCUCUUCUUCCGGCUUCUCUUAGCCACGCACCGGGUAAUCUCCCCGGUGAGUCAACUGAGGUAGUGUCUCUCCCUACCUCGGUUGACAGCAACUUUGAAAUCGGCUGUUUUGCCCUUUCAAAGUUGCAAGUCUUAAAA